rnacentral:rRNA from 1 species
UACGUAGGGUGCAAGCGUUGUCCGGAAUUAUUGGGCGUAAAGCGCGCGCAGGCGGCCUCUUAAGUCUGAUGUGAAAUCUUGCGGCUCAACCGCAAGCGGCCAUUGGAAACUGGGGGGCUUGAGUACAGAAGAGGAGAGUGGAAUUCCACGUGUAGCGGUGAAAUGCGUAGAUAUGUGGAGGAACACCAGUGGCGAAGGCGACUCUCUGGUCUGUAACUGACGCUGAGGCGCGAAAGCGUGGGGAGCAAACAGG